GAUGAACGCUAGCUACAGGCUUAACACAUGCAAGUCGAGGGGUAACAAGAGAAAAGCUUGCUUUUCUUGUUGACGACCGGCGCACGGGUGAGUAACGCGUAUCCAACCUGCCUAUAACUAGGGAAUAACCUUGCGAAAGUAAGACUAAUACCCUAUGAUUUCCUUUGAUGACAUCAGAUUAGGAAUAAAGAUUUAUCGGUUAUAGAUGGGGAUGCGUCUGAUUAGCUUGUUGGCGGGGUAACGGCCCACCAAGGCAACGAUCAGUAGGGGUUCUGAGGGGAGGGUCCCCCACAUUGGACGUGGGACACGGUCCAAACUCCUACGGGAGGCAGCAGUGAGGAUUAUUGGUCAAUGGGCGGAACUCUAACCCAGCCAAGUAGCGUGCAGGAUGACGGCCCUAUGGGUUGUAAACUGUUUUUAUACAGAAAUAAAGUUAGCCACGUGUGGUUAUUUGUAGGUACUGUAUAAAAAAGGACCGGCUAAUUCCGUGCCAGCCGCCGCCGUAA
rnacentral:rRNA from 1 species